GAGUACAGUGGCGACCGGGUGAGUAACACGUGACUAACCUACCCUCGAGUGGGGAAUAACUUCGGGAAACCGGGGCUAAUACCGCAUAACACCGAGGGGCCAAAGAAGCAAUUCGCUUGGGGAGGGGGUCGCGGCUGAUUAGCUAGUUGGCAGGGUAAUGGCCUACCAAGGCAGUGAUCAGUAUCCGGCCUGAGAGGGCGCACGGACACACUGGAACUGAAACACGGUCCAGACUCCUACGGGAGGCAGCAGUGGGGAAUUUUGCACAAUGGGGGAAACCCUGAUGCAGCAACGCCGCGUGGAGGAUGAAGCCCCUUGGGGCGUAAACUCCUUUCGACCGGGAAGAUAAUGACGGUACCGGUGGAAGAAGCACCGGCUAACUCUGUGCCAGCAGCCGCGGUAAUACAGAGGGUGCAAGCGUUGUUCGGAAUUAUUGGGCGUAAAGGGUGCGUAGGCGGUGCGGUAAGUCUUUUGUGAAAUCUCCGGGCUCAACUCGGAGCCUGCAGGAGAAACUGCCGUGCUGGAGUAUGGGAGAGGUGAGUGGAAUUCCCGGUGUA
rnacentral:rRNA from 1 species